rnacentral:tRNA from 1 species
GCUUCCUUGGCUUAGUGGUAUAGCGGUCGCCUAGUAAGCGACAGGUCCUGGGUUCAAUUCCCAGAGGAAGCU